rnacentral:rRNA from 1 species
GGAAUUNCUGGGCGUAAAGCGAGCGCAGACGGUUACUUAAGCAGGAUUUGAANUCCCCGGGCUUAACCUGGGAACUGCNUUCUGAACUGGGUGACUAGAGUGUGUCAGAGGGAGGUAGAGUUCCACGUGUAGCAGUGAAAUGCGUAGAGAUGUGGAGGAAUACCGAUGGCGAAGGCAGCCUCCUGGGAUAACACUGACGUUCAUGCUCGAAAGCGUGGGUAGCAAACAGGAUUAGAUACCCUGGUAGUCCACGCCCUGAACGAUGUCAAUUAGCUGUUGGGCAACUUGAUUGCUUAGUAGCGUAGCUAACGCGUGAAAUUGACCGCCUGGGGAGUACGGUCGCAAGAUUAAAACUCAAAGGAAUUGACGGGGACCCGCACAAGCGGUGGAUGAUGUGGAUUAAUUCGAUGCAACGCGAAGAACCUUACCUGGUCUUGACAUGUACGGAAUCCUCCAGAGACGGAGGAGUGCCUUCGGGAGCCGUAGCACAGGUGCUGCAUGGCUGUCGUCAGCUCGUGUCGUGAGAUGUUGGGUUAAGUCCCGCAACGAGCGCAACCCUUGUCAUUAGUUGCCAUCAUUUAGUUGGGCACUCUAAUGAGACUGCCGGUGACAAGCCGGAGGAAGGUGGGGAUGACGUCAAGUCCUCAUGGCCCUUAUGACCAGGGCUUCACACGUCAUACAAUGGUCGGUACAGAGGGUAGCCAAGCCGCGAGGUGGAGCCAAUCUCACAAAACCGAUCGUAGUCCGGAUUGCACUCUGCAACUCGAGUGCAUGAAGUCGGAAUCGCUAGUAGUCGCAGGUCAGCAUACUGCGGUGAAUACGUUCCCGGGUCUUG